UUCCUCACUUCCUCUGUCAGACCGAGAAUCCCAUAGUCCGGUUUUAAACACUUGAACUUUCAAACUUUUCUACACAGAAUCAGCGAGCGCCACUUUCCUCCACCGCCACAAAGUAGGGCAGCCGGAGCCGCAUUACGCUCGGAGUAUCCCUCAUCCCUGUCAGGACCGGAGUGGCCUCGCUGUCCGCCGAGUCGCUCAGCUGGACGCAUUAAUGAGUGACCCAGUCGACCCAACGCUGCUAGCAGGGAAAUCCAGGAAGUUCGCGGCGCCGUCUCCUUGUCAGCAUGGAGAAGAAGAACGCUUACGUCACUCAGCAGCGCUCUGUUUACGGAAGUAGCAAUGGCCGCCGCCGUCUGU